rnacentral:tRNA from 1 species
GGUCUUCUAGCUCAGUGGGUUAGAGCGUUGGUCUUAUAAGCCAGGUCGUGAGUUAGAGCCUCACCACAACCA